UCAGUACUUAGAGAAGGAUCCAUGCUCUUGUCAGUGGACCUUCUGCAGAGUCAGGACAGGACAGCCUUCAGGAAGUGCGAGCCCAGCCCUUGAGCAUCCCUCCCAGAAGAAGAGUUUCCAGCCAGAAGGAGGAGCCAGCAGGUGGUGGAGGGAUCCAGGAGAGAGUGCUGUGGGCGCCCGUGAAUGAGAUGGGCCCAGGACUCGGAGGCGGCCAUCAGACUGUUUGUAAAUAAAUGGAAACCCGAUCUCCAAAGCCGACCUCACUCCUUACAGUGUCUAAACCUCACAGUGUCCUGCCGUCUGACUCUGCAGUGAGCAGCCAACACCGAGCCCCCUCCACCACCUGAUCACCACAAGUGAACCUGAGCAACGCCCACGGGGCUGGCCUCUGGAGCUCAGCUACAGCCCGAGGCCUGGGGUCACCUGAGUCCUCGUGGUCUGCGUCGAUCUGGGAGCUGGCAGGGCAGGAGAGGAAAGCCCAGGGGUUGGGGAAGUGGCUGCAGCCCUCGCCCCCUCCUCCGAGUCCUAGCUCAGUGCAGUUAGACCUGGGCCUGGGAGCUCAGCUCCAAAACGAUUUACAAUUCAAUUGUGAAAUGGAAUACAAAUUAGACAUCCCUCUUUGGGCCUCUCAAUUUUCUUUGUUAAAGCUCCCAUUCCUCCUAGUACAUUUCUCUAUUUCUAGAUGA